AUUCAGCUGACGAGUCCUAAAUAGAACGAACCGCGCAUACUGGAU
rnacentral:hammerhead_ribozyme from 1 species